rnacentral:rRNA from 1 species
GACAGAGGCCCCAAGCGUUAGGCGGAAUCACUGGGCUUAAAGCGUGUGUAGGCGGACGCCUAAGUGUCUUGUGAAAUCCCACGGCUCACCCGUGGAACUGCUGGGCAUACUGGGCGUCUUGGGCCAACUAGGGGCAGCCGGAACAAGCGGUGGAGCGGUGAAAUGCGUAGAUAUCGCUUGGAACGCCGAAGGUGAAAACAGGCUGCUGGGGUUGUGCCGAUGCUGAGACACGAAAGCCAGGGGAGCAAACGGG